rnacentral:sRNA from 1 species
UGAUAUUCGUAACAGCAUUAUCAAUCUG